rnacentral:rRNA from 1 species
GACGAACGCUGGCGGCGUGCCUAAUACAUGCAAGUCGAACGCUUCUUUCCUCCCGAGUGCUUGCACUCAAUUGGAAAGAGGCGUGGCGGACGGGUGAGUAACACGUGGGUAACCUACCCAUCAGAGGGGGAUAACACUUGGAAACAGGUGCUAAUACCGCAUAACAGUUUAUGCCGCAUGGCAUAAGAGUGAAAGGCGCUUUCGGGUGUCGCUGAUGGAUGGACCCGCGGUGCAUUAGCUAGUUGGUGAGGUAACGGCUCACCAAGGCCACGAUGCAUAGCCGACCUGAGAGGGUGAUCGGCCACACUGGGACUGAGACACGGCCCAGACUCCUACGGGAGGCAGCAGUAGGGAAUCUUCGGCAAUGGACGAAAGUCUGACCGGGCAACGCCGCGUGAGUGAAGAAGGUUUUCGGAUCGUAAAACUCUGUUGUUAGAGAAGAACAAGGACGUUAGUAACUGAACGUCCCCUGACGGUAUCUAACCAGAAAGCCACGGCUAACUACGUG